AAUACUCGAUCAGUUGGUAGGGCAUGAGGCUCUUAAUCUCAGGGUUGUGGGUUUGAGCCCCACAUUAAUUA